UUUCGCAAUGCCCGAAAGGGUGACGAAGCGACGCCGCGUGAGUGAGGAAGGCCUUCGGGUUGUAAAGCUCUGUCAGGAGUUAAGAAAUAUAAGUGUGCUAAUACCACAUUUAUUUGACAAAAGCUCCAAAGGAAGCCACGGCUAACUCUGUGCCAGCAGCCGCGGUAAUACAGAGGUGGCAAGCGUUGUUCGGAAUUAUUGGGCGUAAAGAGCACGUAGGUGGGUUUGUAAGUCAGAUGUGAAAGCCUUCUGUUCAACGGAAGAAUUGCAUCUGAAACUGCGAGUCUUGAGUGUAGGAGGGGAGAAUGGAACUUCUGGUGGAGCGGUGAAAUGCGUAGGUAUCAGAAGGAACGCCGGCGGCGAAAGCGAUUCUCUGGCCUAUUACUGACACUCAGUGUGCGAAGGCUAGGGGAGCAAACGGGAUUAGAUACCCCGGUAGUCCUAGCUGUAAACGAUGGGCACUAAGUAGAGGGGUUUUA
rnacentral:rRNA from 1 species